AAGGGACACAGGCCCCGCCUUUUGAGAGGCAUGCAUGCUGGGAACAGGGAUGUAGUGCUGGCAGCUAUUGCUGGGCUACUUUCCUAAUUAAUUAAUUAAUUAGUUAUUGGUACUGGGAAUGAAGUCGGGCCUUGGGCUUUCCAGGCAGGCUGUGUGGUGCUGAGCUACAUCUCUGGCCCAGGGUUACUUUCUUUUUUCGGGACAGUGGACCAAACUCACAGCCUCAUGCUUGCCAGGCAGGUGCUCAUGUCCCUGAGCUGUAUCCCUGGACACCAUGGGUCACUGUUUUUUUUUUUUUUUUGUUAUUUUGUUAGCAAGGCCUGAACUCAAGACCGUUUUUAACUAGGAAUGACUUUUUUAACUAGGAAUUUUCCUCCUUUCCUAUUCACGGCAUAGGCAGCCUAAAAAGAUUCCCCCUUUUGCUGUGAAAAGGAAAAAGGCUGCUGGGGAGCUGGGGAGGGGGAGAUUUGUGCCUGUUUUCCUGCUGGGAAGUUCUCCCCAGAAUCCACUGGCCCCACGGCUUGGAUUUACUCCAAGGUCAUUCCUGCAGCAAGGUGGCUUUAAAGGACUCAAAGCAGAGGCCCCGCUCUGGACAGCAGGCAGGUGGUGUGACACCUGAGGCCUCAGGACACAGGCUGAAAUCAGAAAGGGAACUAUCUUAGGAGAAUAAUACAGCACUUAAAAAGGAAGAUGCAGCCCAGCAGCCCUGCACUGGAGGCCAAGAUGGAGAAGACCUCCAUGGACUCCAUCAUCUUCUUGUUGCUGUGCUACAUGAGGUGGAGAGUGACCCACAUACUGCAGAACACCAGCAUGCUGAAUGUCAGGAACUUGGCUGCAUUGAAUGGGUCAGGUAGCACUGAGAAACUUGGAGCAAUCUCUCAGUCAUGGUAUGAAGCCCAUGAGAGAAGAAGAACCAGCCAACUAGUGAGAGAUUUCAAGGAUCAAGCCUGGACAUAUGUAGAACCACAAAAUUCUGGGAAGCUCUGAAAUUUCUGUGAGCUUGAAUGGCCUGCUGUGGUUCCCAACUGGCCCUCAGCAGGUAGUUUUAAUUUCUGCACUGCUCAUGCCAUCCGACAAUAUGUCUUUGGAUCCCCAACCCACCCUGACCAAAUUGUGUAUAUUCAAAUUUGGAAUGAUCUCAUUUGUGAUCCUCCUUCUUGGCUUAAAAAGUUUCUCAAGGCAUCUGAGCUUCAAUUUGGAAACCACUGUCUCCUGGCACCUAUGAAAAUGAAACCAAAACCUGAGCCUGACUUGUGAACGACUCUUCCAAGCAAGGAGGAAGGACCUCUGCCAUGGCCUUACUGACCCUUGGCACCAAUUCCUGCUCCUCCUGAACCAGUACCCCCUUCUCACCUUCCUAGCCCUAUCCAAACCAGAAGUUAUUAGCAUUUGGAAUCCCCUAAUUCCUCCACCUCAACUCCCACCCUUCUUCCUCUUCAUGAGAUCCCUAAAUGUGAAGAUCCCUCAGCCCAGUAUUUACCUAUGUCCCAUUUUCUACUUCUAAACUUUACCAAUGGAAACAAAAACACAAAACAAAACAAAACAAAAAAAAAACCUUUUUCUAAGGAUCCUCAAGGUAUUAUUUCUCUUUUAGAAUCAGUCUUUUCCACCCAUCAUCCCCCUUGGGAUGAUUGUUAGCAGAUUUUGCAGUGUUGUUGAUGGUGCAGGAAAGAGAACGCAUCCACACGUUAAGAUGAAAAGUGGUGUGUGAUCCUGAUGGGAACUCAUCCUCUGAUCCUGAAUGCCUGAACCAUGAUUUUCCUUUGUCCCGACCUGAUUGGAAUCCUAACACACUGAAGGUAAGGAGGCUCUUGUUUAGUAUCACCAGUUGUUUCUAGAAGCCCUUAAAGGCACUGCCAGAAAACCCACCAAUUUGUCCAAGGUCUCAGAGGUAAGGCAAUUGGCUAAUGAGUCUCCCUCGGGGUUUCUGGAAAGGCUACAGAAGGCCUAUUGCAUUUAUACCCCUAUAGAUUCAGUGGCACCUGAAAAUGCAAGAGCCAUUAAUAUUGCCUUGUAACUCAGUUGGCCCAAACAUUAAAUGAAAAUUGCAAAGGCUUGAGGGAUUUGAGGGAAUGCCUCUUAGACAGAUCAGAAAUAGCUCAGAAGGUAAUCAACAACCGUGAAGAUCCCAAACAUCAAAAAUUGACAAAGGUAUUAGAAGUAUUGACUGAGAGAGUUACCAAAACAAAUGCAAAGUGUUACCCACCUAUAGAUAAAAAAUCAAUGUGCCUACUGUAAGGAGAUGGGACACUGGUGAAAGCAUUGCCCCAAGCUGAAGGCCAAACUGGAAAUGGAAACCAAGGCUCUAUUGUCCCGUGAUUAGGGAAGUCAGGGCUCUCAUGCCCCCCCCCCCAGCCCAGGCUAACUCUAACUGUGCAGGCCAAUCAAUUGAUUUCUUAGUGGACUCCAGAGCUGCUCAUUCAGUUCUGACUUGGCUCAUAGGAACCACUACAGGAAAGAAAUUAAAAGUAUUAGGAGCCACUGGCACCACAAAGAUAUAUCCGAAGUUUCAAGCUCAGAUAGCCCAACCAGGACAAAAGACUAUCUCUCAUGAAUUCUUCUGCAUCCCAGAAUGCCUAGAUCCCUUUCUAAGCUGAGACCUCUUGUGUAAACUAAAAGUUCAUCUCAGUUUUGAAACAGCCACACCAACAAUGCAAAUGGCCAAUGGCUCAACUGAAUUCCUUGGCGCCAAGGUCCUUGCCCUAUAUCCUGAGGGUAUAGAACAUUUAUUAUUGUAAAAUCCUAAAGGUUUAAAUGACAAUGAGCUAUUGCACUGCUGGACACAGAAAAUCCCUGGGGUUUGGACAGAAUAAUCCUUCCAGUCUGGCAGUGAACCAAAUCCCUUUGGUGACUGAGCUUAUACCUCAAGCACUUCCUAUUCGGCUCAAGCAAUAUCCUGAGUCUGAAUGCACUACAAGGCAUAGCCAGACAUAUACUAAGGUUAAAAGAACAUGGUAUAUUAAAAUCUUGUGUCUCUCCCUGGAAUACCCCCUUGCAGCCUGUUCAGAAGCUGGGCACCUAGGAUUACUGGCUGGUGCAAGAUCUCAGGGAAGUAAACAAAAGAGUUGUAACUCUCCAUCCUACUGUACCUAACCCCUAUACUUUAUUGAGCCUCUUGAGCCCUGAGAGAUCUGGUACUCAGUACUGGAUUUGAAAGAUGCCUUCUUCACUCUCCCCAUUGCUCUAGUAAGUCAACAUACCUUUGCCUUUCAAUUGACUGACCCCACUACAGGAACAUCAGAACAAUUGACUUGAACAUGCAUACCACAAGGUUUUAAAAAGGUGCCCACUCUUUUUGAUGAGGCUUUGGCCAGAGACCUUUUGGGUUUCAGAGAGACUACCCAGAUAUGACAUUCUGGUGGCAACAGAUUCAUAUGAAAGUUGUGCAAGUGACACCUAAGUGACACCUUAAGGACUCUAGACAGGUUGGGCUAUAAGAUCUCAGCUAAAAAGGCUCAGCUAUGCCAAAAGCACGUAACCUACUUAGGUUACCAAAUCCAUGAAGGAAAGUGGACUCUUUUCUCUCAGUGGAUACAAGCUGUCUGGCAGAUCCGAAUCCCUGUAACUAAGAAUCAGGUAUGAGAAUUUUUGGGAGCCAUAUGUUAUUUUAGGCUUUGGAUUAUGAGCUUUGCUGCAAUAACCCAGUCACUUUAUGACUCAUAGAGAGGAGCCACUCAAGACCCUCUAGAGUGGUCAGAAUUACAAGACCAGGCCUUUAGGCAACUGAAAUCAGCCUUAACGGAAGCUCCAGCUCUGGCUCUGCCAAAUUUGCAAAAACCAUUUUCCCUCUAAGUUGAUGAAAAAUGAGGAAUAGAAAAAGGAAUACUGACCCAGAGUUUAGGACUAUGGCAAAGGCCUUUUGCCUAUCUUUUAAAGAGAUUUGAAACUGUGGCAGUCAGGUAGCUGCCUUGCUUGCAGGUGAUUGCCUCAGUGGCUCUCCUCGUGAGAGAGGCCCAAAAGUUGACAUUUGGACAAAAUGCUUAAUUGUCUUCUCUCAUUCACUGGAAACUUAUUAAGGCUCCGCCAGAUUGACUGCUGUCUAACACCUGAGUUAUGCACUAUCAGGCACUGCUCCUGGAUCCAACUAUUAUCAGUUUUAAGGAAAGAGCAGCCUUAAAUCAUGCUGCCCUGCUGCCUGAUUAUGACCCCUACUUGCCUCUUCACAAUUAUAUUGAGGUCAUUGAUCACCUCACAGGACUUCAAACCAGAUUUGAUGCAUGAGCUGCUACCCAGAAUUCCAUCAUAUUUCUCUGAUGGAAGUAGUUACAUCUAUCAAGGUAAGCGGGUCAUGGGGGGUGCCAUCAGACUCUCAGAUUCUAUGGGAACAAACCUUGGAGCCAGGGACAUAAGCUCAAUGAGCUGAACACAUAGCUCUUAUUAAGGCCCUCAAGUUGUCAGAAGGAAAAGAUAAGUAUUAGCUACUGCCAAUGUUCAUGGGACCAUUUAUCAGGAACAAGGUUUAUUGACUUAUGGGGGCCAAAAGAUCAAAAAUGCUCCCCAAACUUUGGAUUUGUUGGCUGCCAUUUGAAUGCCAAGGAAGGUGGCUAUUAUCCACUGCAAAGCCCAUCAAGUAGGAGAUGAUCCUGUUACAUGAGGAAACAAUCUGGCAGACACCACUGCUGGAAAAGUGGCCACAAAAUUAGUGGGGAUUGAAGACAGCCCCGACAUUGUGGCUGAUUACACCUACUCUGUCAGAGCCCUUUUACACUCAAAAUGACUUGCCUUUGGUAACUCAACUCCAAGGGAAGCCUGAAUCCCUGGGGGCUUGAACCAACUGCGUGAUAAGUGAGUUCUCCUCCCUGAGAGCUUGGGAUGAGAACUUAAUGCAACAAGCUCAUUGGUCAAUUCACAUAGGAGAAUCAAAACUCUCUACCCUUUUAUGAGAUCAUUUCUUUAUCCCUCAGUUAUCAAAGCUUACUCAGUCUGUGAGCCAUAGGUACCCUCAGUGCCAGUUGGUGAACCCAAAGCGACUGCAACAAAUGGAAACCACUCAUUAUUGUGGGACUAGGGCUGGAGAAUAUUGGGAAGUAGACUUUACAGAGAUGGGGAAGCCUGGAUUUCAAAGGUAUAAGUAUUUGCUAGUAAUGAUUGAUACUUUCACUAGUUGGGUCAAAGACUUUCCAUCUAAAUCUGAGUCAGCUCUGAUAGUAGUCAAAAAGCUUUUAUAUAAGGUUGUCCCAUGAAUCAGCCUCACUUUAUCCAUGGGGCCUGACAAAGGCCCAGCUUUUAUAGUGCAGAUAACUCAAAAAUUAACCCAAGAUUUGAAGAUCAAUUGGAAGCUCCAUUGCUCUUACCAACCUCAAAGUUCAGGAAAAUUAGAAAGGAUGAACCAGACCUUAAAAAUGGUAAUAACUAAGAUGGAAUUGGAAACUGGCAUGAACUGUGUGAGUCUCCUUCCUUUUGCCCUCUUGUGUGCACAAUGUACUCUCUAUGUUGGAGGUAUUUCCACUUUUAAAGCUCUAUGUGGGAGACCUCCUCCUCUUAUUCCUAAGAUUUCUGAGGAAAAAAUUAGCUGAUUUGGCUAAUCAAGAUCUCAUUAAGUCCCUCCAGGCCCUCAAGCCAGUACUAACUUCCAUCCACUGAGUAUUCCGACAACAUCCUCUGCCUGCAGUCCACUCUGAAAAUGAAUACCCUGCAGAGGAACCUGGGAUACUAGUCCUCAUCAAGAGACAUCACCGUGAAUCUCUUGAACCAUGGUGGGAAGGCCCUUACACCAUGGUCCUCAGCACUCCAACUGUGGUCAAAGUUGCUGGAAAGCCUGCCUGGAUUCAUCAUUCUCACUUCAAGUCGGUUCUGUCCUCUGCCAGUGAUCAACCUACAGAUGAGUGGACUGUUGUAUUCUCCAAGGAUUCUUUAAAGCUUAAAAUUGCCAAAUAUAUCUGAUAAUCUUGUACUUCUGUGUUGUUCCUUAUGGAGACCUCAAGGAGAUACCUCAUAAUCCACUGUUUGGAAGUUGGAAAAUUACUAUUUCAUUGGUGAAUUAUUGAUAGUCAACACUAUUGUCCAUGGGAUAAUUAAGAUAAAUUUAUGUGCCCUAUUAAAUGACCUCCCAGCAAAAA